GGUUCGACCCUCUUGGUUGGGGAACUGGCUCCCCUGAGAAGAUCAAGGAAUUGAGGACUAAAGAGAUCAAGAAUGGUCGAUUGGCUAUGUUGGCGGUAAUGGGUGCUUGGUUCCAACACAUCUAUACUGGCACUGGACCCAUUGACAACCUUUUCGACCACCUCGCCGAUCCUGGUCACGCCACCAUUUUUGCUGUAAGUUCAUCCCCUCAAAAACCAAUUCCAUUUGUAGUGUUUAGUUUCAGUUUGGAUAGAUUAUUCAAUUUGAAUCGGUUUUGGUUGAAUUAUUAUUCAAGUAUAUUCUAUUUGGUUAUGUUUUUGAUUCAGAGGUUAAAGCUUUAGGAGUUAAAAUUUUAAUGCCAUAUAUAGAUGCUGUCAAAAAACACCUUUACUUUGAAUCAAAUUUGUUGUCUUCCUAAGGGUCGGACUAACUGGUGUUGGUUGUCCAUGUCAGGCUUUCACUCCCAAGUGAGACAGAAUUAAGAGACAACCUUUAAGAGCGAUUAAAAUGUUGGGAUGACAAUGAUGAUCAUACCAUUCCAUACGUUGGAAGAAGAGCGGAAGACUUGUAAUGUUGUGGGGGAAUGUUUGUAUUAGUAGAAACUGUAAUGCCUCUGUUUGUAUUGUAGAUGUUAU
rnacentral:lncRNA from 1 species